rnacentral:lncRNA from 10 species
GGCACGAUCUCAGCUCAUGGCAACCUCCACCCCUCAGGUUCAAGCGAUUCUCCUGCCUUGGCCUCCCGAGUAGCUGGGAUUACAGGUGCCCGCCACUACGCCUGGCUAAUUUUUGUAUUUUUAGUAGAAACAGGGUUUCACCACGUUGGCCAGGCUGGUCUGGAACUCCUGACCUCGAGUGAUCCACCCACCUUGGCCUCCCAAAGUGCUGGGAUUACAGGAAUGAGCCACCGUGCCCGGCUAUAUAUGGGUAUCUUUUUAUUCAAUAUGAUUUUAGCAAUCCACUUCCACAGAAAAUCAUCUGACAUUUUUGAUGAGUUUGCAGAAGAGUUACAGAGAAAUUCACGUUGAGCACCCAGUGAGCUCAUGGGAAAUUCAUUGCUGCUAGCAAGCUUAUUGUCUUAUGAAGGGGGCAGAACUAGCCUGCAGGCUCUGGGUGGCUCCUAGGGGUGCAUGAAUGAGCAUGGGAUAGGAGGAACAGAAAACGUACUCACUUGUUUCAGACAUAGCCCUUCCUACCCUUCCUCCUCCUCCUCCUCCCUCCACUGCCCUCGAAGUUUUUAAAGAAUUGCUAGCUGUGUGCAUACUGGCCUUGUUGAGAAUCUAGGACAAGGCCUACAGACAGUGACACUGUGUCACACACACACACACACACACACACACACACAGGCUUUAAGUAAGACAUGAUCAUUCUUUUCUCUUAUAAAAAGAAGAAAGACUUCUCCGCUAAUAAAGGAAAUUUUCUCUGGGUCACUAGGGGUCACAACCAUGUGGAUGGCUGCCCUCUGCCACUGGAAGCAACAGGUUGGAUGAGAAGACUGAACCUUACCUUGCCAGGCUAGAGCCCCCACCCCACCCCGCUCUCAUUCCAGUCAUGCCUUCCACACCCCUGGAUCCUCUGGGCAGUUGGGGAGCCUGGAGAGGGGCUUGGUCACAAGGCUCCAGGAGUCUCAGAGAGAGAGAGAGAGAGAGAGAGAGGGAGAGAGACAGAGAGAGAGAGCGUGAGCGAACUCAGGCUUCUCACCACACCCUCACCUUGUAAAGAGCUCUGCCUCAUUAUAGAGUCGUAUCUCAUCCCCGGUGGGGGGCAGCAGAAGGAGCACUUGGUUCUUUCUAGACCCAAUCCCUGGUGAGACCUCAAGACUUUUUCAAGUCUUUCAGCACAGGCUCAGUGCCACCCUGUUGCCUUGGGCCUGGCAGAUUCCCAGGCUUCCUUCCGGCUGCUAGUAGGUCUUGUCCCAUCUCCUAGGUUCUCAGCUGCAGGAGAGCUUCUGGCCAGGGCCAUUGAUGUUGAGCCUUGGUCUCAUCUCUUCUGUCUCUGCCUGUCUCUUGUUAUUGUUUUUAGAGACAGGAUGUCACUCUGUCACCCAGGCUGGAGUGCAGUAGUUCAGUCACAGCUCACUGCAGUCCUGAACUCCUGGGCUUAAGGGAGCCUCCUGCCUCAGCCCCCUCAGUAGCUGGGACCUCAGAUAUGAGCCACCAUGCCACCAUGCCAUACUGCGCUCUCUUAUGCUUUCUCUCUCUCUUUCUUUCUCUCUCUUCCAGCUAUCUCUCCCCAUCAGGAGUCUUGGGGACUUGAAUAUUUAUUCAUUUCUUUCUCAUCAAACAUUUCCAGAGUCUUUUCCCAGCUUCUAGGAACAAUGACUAGAGGGUUAGAGCCCAGGUCCCUGGCUUGUCCAGGAUGAACUUGGGGCAGAGGCCACUCAUGAAGAAUGGCACCUCCUGGCUCUCCAUCAUCAGCUUACCCAUGGAACAUUCUCAUAGUGCAUGAUGCUGGGUGUGUAUCCUCCCUGCAGGAACCUCACACUGCAGAAACCAGGAUGCAGCUGUCUCACCCAUAGUAUCCUACACACCUCCUUAGUGCCUGAAAGCAGGUACUUAUGGAUGUGGCUCGCAGUCUGCUCCUAGCUUGAGAAAGGGUCCAUGUUAAUUCCUCAUGGCCCAAACUGUUCCCUCCCCCAUCUCAGAAAUGCAGUGGUGAUGGCAGGUGGGUGGUUUCUCCUCUCCUGUGUCCCUGUCACAACUCCUUAUCUGAGAUAUCUUUCUUCUCCCCACUUGAGUGGCCAGGUACCCUCAUUGGUCCACCCUUUAUCCCUGUACUCUUAGGAAAAGAUUUGGAAAAUACACUCACAAGGUUCAUGCUGAAAGGCCUCUGAGGCCCAGAGACGUUCAGAGGCUUCCCUAAGGUCACACAGAAAGUUAAUGUCAGUUUUUUUUUAAAUAUAGGUUUUUCAAAAAUAGAGACAAGGUCUGCCUGUAUUGCCCAGGCUGGCCUCUAACUCCUGGCCUCAGGCGAUUCUCCCACCUCAGCUUCCCAAAGUGCUAGAAUUACAGGCAUGGGUCACCAUAAACAGCUAAGUUAAUGCCAGUCUUAUCCAUCUCAGCCCAGUACUGGCUCCACUGGCUGCUGAGAACAGAUUCCUGCCCUGCUUCCCUCACACUUCAAAGGCAUAUUUGUACUUAUGUGCAACAUUGUCUAGGCUGGUCUUGAACUCCUGGCUUCAAGAUAUCCUCCCACCUUGGCCUCCCAAAGUCCUGGGAUUACAGAUGUGAGCCACUUUGCCAAGCCCCCCUUUUUCUGAAGAAGUUGUUGAAUGUAGUUGCUUUAAUAUGAUUUUCACAUGCAUUAGCUUAUUAGCUUCUAAUACAGAACUAAGAGAUGAACUGGGCAGAUAUUUUACUAAAUUUUUAUUUUUAUUUCUUUUUUUGAGACAGGGUCUCACUGUGUCACCCAGGCUGGAGUGCAGUGGUGUGAUCAUAGCCCACUGUGGCCUCUAACUCCUGGGCUCCAGGGAUCCUCCCCAUUCAGCCUCCCUCGUAGCUAGGACUACAGGUGCACACCACCAUGCCCAUGCCCAGCUUGGGCAGAUUGCUUUUCAUCAUUCACAGGUGGAAACAGAUUUAGAAAGGCUAACUGGCUUGGAGUGACAUGCUGGCACUAUGGAGCCACAAGUGGAAAUAAGUGGGUUUCUAGCACAAGGGAGUGGGGAAUCUCAGCAUCGUGUAGGAGGGUUUCCUAUGAGAUGUUCUCCACUCAGUGGCUGCUCAGCCUAAAAACAAUACAUAAAUAAAGCUGGGCUGUCUCCCACUGAGAACGAGGGCAGGAGGCGCAUAUCUGUGGUAAAAUACAGAGAAGACCCACAGGCUGAAUGCCCAGCACCAUUCCUUGUUGCCUUUGCAUUUCUCCUUGUUAAACAUUAACCUUUAAAGUGAGAAACACCUAAAUGCUGAUAUAAUUAUCCAAAUAAGCAUUUUCUGUCAUGCCAGGGUUUAUUUGAUGAAUAGCAAAGCUUCUGAGCUUUGUCCUUCACUUUUGUUAUUCGGCAAGGUGUUUGAACUUUAGUCAUGUAAACACUGCAAGUCGUUACUACCGGAUGUCUGUAUCUUGGCCUCCAAAGUGAGCAGUGGAAAGAACAACAAUGAAUUUAAUAGAAACAAGACAUUUUUUCUGUUUCUUGUCAAAGCUAUACAUGUUUUCUGUCUUCAUGUCCAUUGGCAGGGCCUUAAAUGAACUAUGGUGCAUCUGUGUAAUGGAAUAUCCAGCAGCCACAAAAAAGAAUGAGUUUUUUUUUUUUAACGUGGUGAUAUGAAAUAUUUCCAAGAUGUAUUGUUAAGUGAAAGAAGCAAGAGUGACUAGUAUGUUCCUUCUUGCAUUUAACAAAGAAGACAGGGAAUAUAUGUAAGCGUGUUUGUGUAGGCAUCAAAUAUCUCUAGAUGGGCUGGAUGCAGUGGCUUAUGCCUGUAAUCCUAGCACUUCGGGAGGCCGAGGCCAGUGAAUCACCUGAGGUCAGAAGUUCGAGACCAGCCUUGCCAACGUGGUGAAACCCUGUCUCUACUAAAAACUCUUCAUCUGCUGGGAUAAUCUGUGCUUGAAGAAACACAUGCCAGGGAGGUGGAGGUUGCAGUGAGCUGAGAUUGCACCACUGCAUUCCAGCCUGUGCGACAGAGUGAGACUCUGUCUCAGAAAACAAAACAAAACAAAACUCUAGAUGGAUAACCAAGAAACUGAUGCGAUUAUUGCAUCAAGAAAGGAACUGAGUGGUUAGUGGA